UUUCUGAUGAAGUCCAAUUUAUCGACUUCCUCUUUUAUGAUUUGUGUUUUUGGUGUCAUGUCCAAGAACUCUGUAAGUCUUAGAUCCUGAAGACUUUCUCCUGCUUUUUUCUAAAAGUUUUACACUUUUACUACAUUUGAAUUUGAGAUCCAUUUGAGUUAAUUUCUGCAUAAAGUGGGGGAGUUAGGUAGAGGUCCAUUUUUGUGCAUACGGAUGUCUAAUUGCUGCAGCACUCUUUAUUGAAAAAGCUCUCCUUCCUCUGUUGAAUUGCUUUUAUACUUUUGUCAAAAAUCGAUUGGGCAUAUUUGUGUGGGACUAUUUCUGGGUUCUCUUUCCUGUUCUGCUCUCAUGUGUCUCUCUCUCUGCCGAUACCACACUGUCUUGAAUUAGUAUUUAGUGGGCCUCAAUAUCAGAUAGAGUGAGACCUCCUACUUUAUUCUCCUUAGGGAUUGUUUUUAGCUAUUUUAAGCCCUGUGCUUUUCCAUAUAAUUUAAACUUGUUUAUAUCUGCAAAAAUUGUUGCUGGAAAUUCUGUUAAACCCAUGGGCCAAUUUGGGAAAAAUUGAUGUCUUUACUACGUUAAGUCUUUCAAUCCAUGAAUGCAAUAUAUCUCUUUAUUUGGUUCGACCUACUUUGAUUUCAUUCAUUAGCAGUGUGUAAUUUCCAGCAUAGAACCCUAUCUAUAUUGUGUUAGAUGUAUAACUAAGUAUUUCAUUUUCUUUGGUUUAACUAUAAAUUAUAUUUUGUUUUUAGUUUUGGUUUCUACUGAUCUGUUGCUAGUUUACAGAAAUACAAUUGAUUGUUCUGUGUUGAUCUUGUAUCCUGCAAUUUUACUGAAAUCACUUUAGUAGUUUUAGGAGAUAUUUUUGUGAUGUCUUGGGAUUAUCUAUGAAGACAUAAAGUUAUAACGUCAACCACAAAUAGCGAAAGAUUUUUUCCUUUUAGAUAUGCAUACUCCUUAUUUCUUAUUGCUCUGGUAGAACUUCCAGCACUACGUCAAAUAUGAGUGAUGAAGGCAGACAUUCUCCUUGUUCCUGAUCUAAAGGGGAAGAAUUCAGUCUUUUACCAUUAAGUAUUAUGAUAAACAUACAUUGUUUGUAGAUUCCCUUUAUCAAAUUGUUGGAGUUUCCCUCUGUUCCUAUUUAUCUGAGCUUUUCAUUAUGAAUGAGUAUUGGAAUUUGUCAAGUGAUUUCUCUGCAUUACUUGAUAUAAUCAUAACAUUUUUCUUUUUAGCUUGUGGAUAUGGUGGAUUACGUUAAUUGAUUUUCAAAUGUUGAACCAGCCUUGCACACCUGGAAGAAAUCCCACUUGUCCAUAGUAUGGCUGUCCUGGUAAAGGAAAUAUUUUCACCUGGCCUUUGGGAAGUGGAGGUCUGGCCCGUGAUCCCUGGGGAGCCUGCAGUUGCAUGAAUAGUGUGGACACAUUGGUGAUGGUGCUCCCAUUACCUCCAGCGGAUAAGCUCUACUCCAACCCGCACUCAUCAACAAUGACUGGGUUCUCCUGGAAAGAUCUGGAGAGAAACUUGAGAAGGAAGGAGGAAGCAUAAAACAGAACUGAAUAUUAAUCUACACCAAAAUAUUUAAAAUAUUAAAUAUUUAAAAUAUUAACGUAACAACUAGCAUGAGAAUUCCAGGUCCUUUUAGGAGUCUCUCAUGUUCAACCAUCAUCUUCCAAUUUAGGCCGGACUCAGAAGAGGACUGGAGAAACUCCAAUUCAAAGCCCUGAAUCUUCAUAAAUUCCAGAAAUGGAAGAGAGAGAAUAAAACAUAGAACCACUAGUCCUCCUCCUCAACUUCACAAAACACCGCGUGUUCCUUGUGGGCAAAAGAGAGCUAUAUUCUAAUUUUUAAGCUUUCGGGAGGAAGUGUGUCUUUAGAAUGUUAAUAAUCAUUAUCAUCCUCUAUCUACUGCACCUUUGCUCUUUUGCUUAGGAUUGCAUUUGACACUUACUUAAUUUGAAGGUGUUUAUGAAGUCACAGCCAGGCAUCUUUCCUUUAGGUUUGAUAAUAUUUUACAACCAAACUCUGUCCCUUUUGCUUAAAGCCCAGAACGCUCCGAAGGCCUAGGAAGACUUCACUUCACAUCUUUCUUGCAACAUUUUGAAUAUUUCUUUUACCUUUUUCUAAUAACGUUUACACCUACAUUCCAAAUCUUAAAAGGAAGGCAUUUUUAACCCUAUAUUUGUUUUCCUUUUCCAUCGUGGGCACCUUAAAACCUUGACUCUUUCCUCUGUCUCCGUGGUCCUGCAAGGAGGGCGGUGACUUGAGCCGACCGAC